GACGAACGCUGGCGGCGUGCUUAACACAUGCAAGUCGAACGGAAAGGCCCUGCUUUUGUGGGGUGCUCGAGUGGCGAACGGGUGAGUAACACGUGAGUAACCUGCCCUUGACUUUGGGAUAACUUCAGGAAACUGGGGCUAAUACCGGAUAGGAGCUCCUGCUGCAUGGUGGGGGUUGGAAAGUUUCGGCGGUUGGGGAUGGACUCGCGGCUUAUCAGCUUGUUGGUGGGGUAGUGGCUUACCAAGGCUUUGACGGGUAGCCGGCCUGAGAGGGUGACCGGCCACAUUGGGACUGAGAUACGGCCCAGACUCAUACGGGAGGCAGCAGUGGGGAAUAUUGCACAAUGGGCGGAAGCCUGAUGCAGCAACGCCGCGUGCGGGAUGACGGCAUUCGGGUUGUAAACCGCUUUCGCCUGUGACGAAGCGUGAGUGACGGUAAUGGGUAAAGAAGCACCGGCUAACUACGUG
rnacentral:rRNA from 1 species